rnacentral:tRNA from 1 species
CCAUGGCUCAGUCGGUAGAGCAACUGAUUCGUAAUCAGUAGGUCGCCGGUUCGAUUCCGGCUGGU